UCAGACAUGGUGUAAGGGGAACACAGCCUCUUAUUCUGGGGAUCAAGUAGAUUAAAAAUUGAGAGGCAGUCCAGGGUUCGAUCCCUUGUGUCUGAA